UUAUGCAAAAGAUCACAUGGAGUUCACAUCUCCUCAGUAGUAUCGCAGAGUCCAACUGGAGCUGGUAGAUCUCUAGAUGCCUCAGGAUUCUCAGAGUCGGCCUCAUCUCAGUGGAGGUCCAAAAUCUUCAUCGCACAGAUGAUCGGAGCUGGUACAAUUACUCAGAUGCCUCGGGAUUGGUAUAAAGAAAGAAGCAGUGGACAGGUGAGGAUAUGUUUGAGUUGCACUCAGUGGAACUGGAGCUGGAGGCCGUGGAGAAGCAGUUCCGCGACCCACAAGUGAAGCAGGCCCAGCAGUGAGAGCGUAAAUCCAUGCUGAAAUAUCCCCGGUCGGUCGCUCACCUGUCUCAGGUAAAUUCCAGACGCAAAAUGAGUAUGUCCUCCACCUCUACUCCAUGUAUUUCUCUGUCCAGGCCCAGCACACCCAGGAAGCAGCUGGCCCAGGUGUUGUUCACUCCAGUGCAGCAGCAGAGGAAGAUGUGAGCCGGGCCCCGGUCGAGGACCUCUCCUUCUCCACCGCCACCGGUCUUCGAGAUCCCCACCCAGAACUGCUUCACCCCCCUCUGCAAGACUGAACACGACACGGUGAUCAUCGGAGACUCCAUCGUCCGCUAUGUCCAUUCUACUGCGGCUAAAGAUUUCAUGCAAGGCUACUGAGAUCUGGCUUUUGGUGUUUCUCAGCUGUGAUCUUAGCUUUAGCAGUGAGCUUGCAACGUAACCCAGAAGUUUCAGAGUGCUGUGAUCUUUGGUGUUUUAUGCCUGCUGCAUGAGACAAAAAGUCAUCAAAGUCAUCAAUCAUUCAUUUUUAGUAAACACUUCAUCCUGGGUCACAGUGGAUCUGCAGACUCUCCUGGGAACACUGGGCACGAGACAGGGUCUCUUCAUUAGAGGUCACCAUGUUCACCCACAUUCAUACAAAUGGUUUGGCAUUUUCUAUGCAUAAACAAACCAACGGAAUGCAUGUUGGAAUGGAGUGGAGGAAUGAGGAAUCCAGAGGAAAACCAUGCACAAAUAGAGAUAAUGUGAGUUUCUGUCUUUCAGAAACUCAAGCUUGUGGUGAACCAGAGACCCUUGGAGCCUUGAGGAAGCAAAGCUACAGAGUGCUCCAUCAUAUAUUAAAAACAUAAAUUUCCAUUUCGACUCUGCUUACUAUUACAAAAAUGUAACUAACUAAAUAAAUAAAUAAAUAGUUUACUUCUGAAUGUUGUCAAAUGUGUGUAACUAAAUAUUUUUGUUGAAUAAUAUUUUGGCUAUGACUUGUUUUUUUAUUGUGAAGGAAAGAAUAUCCAGAGAUAAACUUGUAUAUUGUGAAAUAAUUCCAUAAUUAUUAUUGUGGAUCUACAGUGUAUGGAGUUUCAUUUCUUGUACACAUAGCUGGGAUAAUAAUCAGUAAUAAUUUAUUCUAGCACUGGAGAAUGGAGAACAAUUCAUUGCCUAAAUGAAAUGAUCUGUGUAAUAGUUCAGUGUGCUAUCAAGAGUUAAACAGAAAGCUAUCAAAGCUGUGUAUUGAGUAAUGUUGUUGACUGACGAGUGAGGGAUGGCUUCUAACUUCAACACACACAAAUUGAGCUCUAGAAUCUUGACAGGAUUUAAAAUCUCUGUGUGGUUGACCCCUUGCCAUUGUUUAUUUUGAUUUCAUUUGACCAAUUUUUUUAACAGAAGCAUAUAUUUCCACAAUUUAAACACUCAAGCCAGUGUUUCAGAAAUGUAGUGUUACUUUUUGUCCUUUUGAAGCCUUAACUUAGAAUUAUGGAUGGAAAAUCUUAAAAAGCCCCCAGGGUUUGAAAAUGUCACUGUGCUACAAUGCAGUAAAAUUAACAAACUCUCCCUCAAACAUGUACAUCUAUCUGGAAAGACCUCAAAACCCAAUCUUUGUGUGUGCUUUGGCAGGUAAUCACUACCUAGGCUCUGGUUCUGAAAUAGCUUUAGGUGUACUUGCGUGACAGCUUUAGAGAUAAAAGGGAAUAAUUAAUUUAUCAGAGGGAACCAGGCUUUAAUCCCCAGUGUCCUGGUGAUAAGGGUAUUUUUGCCCUUUCUCAAACCCACUUUUAGAUCUCCUCGGAUGAUAGAGCAUUCUCCCUCGGCAUCCUCUUGUUAAUAAGGCUGUCAGAGGGGCCACAGAGGUGUCGUCCGAAGUGACUUAUCUCCCCACCACACACUCCCAUCUGCCCCUGACAGCCAAAAUCCAGGGACUUUUGAAUCCUUGCAAGGCCUCAGCAAUACAGCAAGCCAAAGCUGUCAUUUAAGUUAUAAAUUCAAACAUUAGGCCAGGAGAAUAGCAAGAUACAUGAAACAUUUAAAGAAAUGGAUAAAAGAGAGAAAAAAAUAGGAAUUUAAAUAUUUGAUUCUUGGUGAAAUUCAAAAUGCAGAUGGAUUUGUUUUCUUGUUAAUAAAAAUGUAUUGAACCCCAGUUGUUGAAAAUUCUUG